GUUGUAUGGUUAAGUGACUAAGCGUAGACGGUGGAUGCCUAGGCAGUUGGAGGCGAUGAAGGACGUACUAACUUGCGAUAAGCCAUGAUGAGGCAGUAAGAGCCGCUUGAGUCAUGGAUUUCCGAAUGGGGAAACCCAGUGUGCAUGCACACUAUCUUGCACUGAAUACAUAGGUGUAAGAAGCGAACCCGGAGAACUGAAACAUCUAAGUACCCGGAGGAAAAGAAAUCAACCGAGAUUUCCCUAGUAGCGGCGAGCGAACGGGAAUUAGCCCUUAAGCAAUCAUGGUUCUAGUGGAAUGAGUUGGAAAGCUCAACGAUACAGGGUGAUAGUCCCGUACACGAAGGAAGCAUGAAGGUGAAAACGAGUAGGUCGGGACACGUGUUAUCUUGACUGAAUAUGGGGGGACCAUCCUCCAAGGCUAAAUACUCCCAACUGACCGAUAGUGAACCAGUACCGUGAGGGAAAGGCGAAAAGAACCCCGGCGAGGGGAGUGAAAUAGAACCUGAAACCGUCUACGUACAAGCAGUAGGAGCACCUUCGUGGUGUGACUGCGUACCUUUUGUAUAAUGGGUCAGCGAC
rnacentral:rRNA from 1 species